UGGGGAAUAUUGCGCAAUGGGGGAAACCCUGACGCAGCAACGCCGCGUGAAGGAUGAAGGUUUUCGGAUUGUAAACUUCUUUGACGAGGGACGAUAAUGACGGUACCUCGAAAACAAGCCACGGCUAACUACGUGCCAGCAGCCGCGGUAAUACGUAGGUGGCAAGCGUUGUCCGGAUUUACUGGGUGUAAAGGGCGAGUAGGCGGGACGGAAAGUCAGUAGUGAAAUACCGAGGCUUAACUUCGGGGCUGCUAUUGAAACUUCUGUUCUUGAGUGAUGGAGAGGCAGGCGGAAUUCCCGGUGUAGCGGUGAAAUGCGUAGAGAUCGGGAGGAACACCAGUGGCGAAGGCGGCCUGCUGGACAUUAACUGACGCUGAGGCGCGAAAGCGUGGGGAGCAAACAGG
rnacentral:rRNA from 1 species